GACGAACGCUGGCGGCGUGCUUAACACAUGCAAGUCGAGCGGUAAGGCCCUUUCGGGGGUACACGAGCGGCGAACGGGUGAGUAACACGUGGGUGACCUGCCCUCAGCUCUGGGAUAAGCCUGGGAAACCGGGUCUAAUACUGGAUAUGACUCCAUGACGCAUGUUGUGGGGUGGAAAGCCUUGUGCGGCUGAGGAUGGGCCCGCGGCCUAUCAGCUUGUUGGGGGGUGAUGGCCUACCAAGGCGACGACGGGUAGCCGGCCUGAGAGGGCGGACCGGCCACACUGGGACUGAGACACGGCCCAGACUCCUGCGGGAGGCAGCAGUGGGGAAUCUUGCGCAAUGGGCGAAAGCCUGACGCAGCGACG
rnacentral:rRNA from 1 species